ACCACCACCGCGAACUCGCGGCACUGCUCGUAGUCCAAGGAGCGCUGCGCGUACACUGCGCCGCUCUGCGCCUCCACCGACACGUACGGCGCCGCGCCCGCGCUGCCACCCUCCAGCGAGUACCUCACGCGCCCGUUGCUGCCUUCGUCCGCGUCCCGCGCCCUCACGUGCAGCACCAGUUCACCCGCCGGGUUGUUCUCCGCCACGUAGGCGCUGUAGGCGGCCUCCUCGAACACCGGCGCGUUGUCGUUCACGUCCGACACCUCCAGCACCAGCACCGUGCUGCUCGAGAGCGCCGGGCUGCCCCGGUCCCUCGCCACCACCGUCACCCGGUUCACGGACGCCUGCUCCCGGUCCAGCGCGCUAGCUGUCACCACCUUAUACGAGCCACUGGACGACGCCACGAGCGACAGCGGCUCCUCACCCAACAGAUCACACCACACCUGACCGUUCUCCCCAGAGUCCGGGUCCUUCACGUUCAGCACGGCCACCAUUGUGCCGACUGGCGCGUCCUCGGGCACAGGGCUCGACACCGACAGUACCGUGAUUUCUGGCGCAUUGUCGUUCACGUCCAGCACCUCCACCUCCACUUUGCAGUGCGCCAACAAACCGCCCCCGUCCUUUGCUUCCACCAGAAGCGUGUAGCGACGUGUGUCCUCGAAGUCCAGCGCUUCCUGAAGCAUGAUUCUCCCACUCUCCGCAUCCACCAAAAACUUCUGAAGUACUUUAGCCGGUGUUUCCCCUAAGCCAUAGGUGAUGCGGCCGUUACUGCCUGAGUCGGCGUCGAAGGCUGACACGUUCAGCACAGUCGAACCCGGCAGCGCAUUCUCCCCCAAGCUCACUCGAUACCGCUCCUGCGCGAACACGGGGGCGUUGUCGUUGGAAUCGGUGACGUUGAUGCAGAGCUGGGCGGUGCCGCUCCGGGGCGGGUCCCCGCCGUCCACCGCCGUCAGUACCAGCCUCAGGCUCUGCUCUCUCUCCCGGGUCCAGCGCCCGGCGCAGCACCAGCUCCGCGAACUUGCGGCCGUCAGGGCUCUCCUUCACCUCCACCGCGAAGUAUCCCGUUGUCCUCCAGCUCGUAGCUCUGCAGCGAGUUGCCU
rnacentral:lncRNA from 14 species